ensembl:lncRNA
AUUCCCAUAUUGCAAGCAAAAUUAUCCAAUUUACCCACAACUAUAAGAUGUUUAUAAAGGAAAAAAAUAAAACACAAAAUCAUGAUUUUUUUUCCCCUUUUUCAUUAAUUGCAAGCAUUUGAGCCAUUGAAACAUUCCUAAGGAUAUAGUUCAGCAAAAUGAAUUUUGGUACAAUUUUAAAAAAGUCUUUGACACCUCUUUUAAGAAUUAUGCAAGAAUUUCCAGAGAAUGUGACCUUAUCAAAUGGCAUAAAAGGCUGUUUUAAUUGUGUGGAUAUAUUAGAGAAAUAAACUAGUAUGCUAGCAUUUAUAUAAUAGUAUUCAUACAUUUGAGUACAUUAGGACAUCUCAGCUCAGAUAUCCUGGAAGGAGAAAGAGCCUAGCUAUCUAGGAAAGUGACAUUAGCACCUAUUUAAGCACCUGUUAUCCAGGAAAGCCAGUGGGAUGUUUGGCAGAACAUCAACAUCUCCACACUUUCUGUUUCUCAGGUUGGGCAGUGCUUAUUCACAGCCCAAUAUUAACUUCUGCAACCUGAACUCUCCAGUAAAAUUGUGACCAGUGGAGUUCUGCUACUGAACUAAUGAGCACUCAGACACUCUGCUAGAGGAGUCAUUUCCCUUGGCAGCUGUGUGUGAGGGUGACAACAGCACAUGUGCAGGAUCUGGAAAGAACAAGGCUGUGAACCUGCAGGAAAAGCACCAAAGUGCAGCCAAGCUGUGUUGUGCCAAUAUUUCAGGAAGCUGUCUCUGUGGGAUAAAGGUUCUCACCUCUCUUGGUAUUUUGUGUUGAUUCUCUUUCCAUAACCAGGAACAUGGAAAAUUGUUGCUGCUGUUUUUCAACACUUCAAAGAAAAUGUUUGCUUCAGGCAGAUUUUUACUUUUGGCUUGUCCUGGCUAGUAUUUUAACAGUUCUGAGAAAAUGAAAAAUAUACAUCCUGAUUUCAUUAUCAUUGCUGUGCAGGGAUUCCUUCCACUAUUAGUAUGGAUACAGCAUACCACUUCAAAGCUCUAGACAUCUCAUAUAAUCUUCUGUUUCCUUUACUCCUGCCCUGGACAAAAGGAUAGAUUAUUUUAAUUUCUUCUAUUUUUGAUGGUGUGCUGUUCCUAGAUACUACAGUAGAAAUUUUUUUGUGACUUCCAUUUACAUUUAACUUAUCAUACUUACUUGUCAUAAGUAGCAAUUCUUAUAAACCUGUGGAAUGAAAUUGUUUUUUAGAGAUUGCCUUUAAGUUUGGGGCGAUUAUUAUUAUUAUUAUUAUUAUUAUUAUUAUUAUUAUUAUUAUUAUUAUUAUAUCAUCACAUGAUUAUUAUUAUUAUCUAGGUUUACACAUGAAGGCUAGAUGGAUAUGUAUUAAAACAAUUUAUUAGAUUUUCCUUUUUUUUUUUUUUACUUACAGCCUUAGAAGUCAGUUAUAAAUUGUAUGUAUUAGCAUGGUGAAUAAAUGAAUGUAAAACUAAAUAUGAAAUAUAUGUAUAUAUACUAUGCAUUUCCCUUCAGGUCACAAACAUCAGAAUUAAUUAUUUUCCCUGUAUAUUUCAUCCUUCCAGUGUCCUGAAAUGACAGCCUUGGUUCCUAGCCAGGGUUUUGAAGCAAGCAAAUGAAUUCCAGGAGUAUAAGGUAAGUAGCUCUUUUGUAUUCCUGGAUUACUUUUGAUCCCUACAGUUCAACAAGAACUUAUAGACCAUGCAAUCCAUUGCCAGAAAAUUUCUAUAGUCAGAGAGUUUAUUAUCUAUUCCCAUCUCAGCUCCUGUGAAAAAUCAAUGAAAGGAAGAUUUAAAAUCCCAAAAUUGUGCGUGACAGCUAUACUUAUGUGCCUACAUUAGAAUUAUUUAUUAUUAGGAUCAGGUGGGUUUGAAACCAAGAGAAAGAGAAAGGGAGGAAGAGAAUAGGGUGGGGUUUUUAAGUGCUUUCAGGUGACUUAAAUAUUUGAAUUUAUUUUUAAAUAUUUAAAUUCAUUUAAAUUUAAUUAAACUUGUGCUUCUCUUUCUGGUAGUCCCAGAGGGUACUCACCCAUUUGGAAACUAUUAAAUAUGUGACUAUUAAAAAUGUCAGUAUGUUGCAGCUCCUAUUUUAUCUAAGACAGCUGAGACUUUGGUACUGUGCUCUGUCAUGAACACCUGCAAUGCUGCAGAAAAAGGUGCAAAACUCAAGAACGUUUUCUUUGUCAUUAGCUUUCAAGAAAACCCCUUCCUGGUCUCUGGAAAAACACCUUGGACUGUUUUGUAUUCACAAAUCUUCUUCAUAUGUUGUAGGAUCAUCUGAUUAAAAUCUAAUUCCUUUCACUGCUCUCAAGUGAUGCCCUAAACGUGAAUUCUCAAUGUUCCUCUGCUGGACUGGGUACUUUGUUAUCCUUUGUACAACAAAAUGCUGAUAACUCUGCCCUUGAUCCUGCAAAACACUUAAAUUCAUGCUCAAACUUACCUGCACAUGUGCCUUGAUGCACAGCAGCCAAUGCUCAGCAGUUUUCAGGUCCCUUAGGUGGGGGGAAUAGUUUUGAAAUAUUCUGUGAGAACUCCACAAACGAGAAUUCCUUCAAGCAGACCAAUGCAGAGGAAAAUAUUUCUGUUGGUUUUUCACUUCUUUUUAUCCUUGGGCAGGAAGGAAAUGGAGUGGAAAUAUAAUAAAACGCCUGAUGCAGAAACAACAUUUCUAUUCCUUACUGACAUAGCAAACUUAGGACACAGAUUCAGUUAAUAAAGUAUCCUGCACUGUGAUCUUCUCCUUCUGACUAUACUCAGAUUCAUCCCAUAGCUAUAUGAGAAGCAGGGAACUGUAAGAACUGUAAGAAUAUCAUAAAAGGAGAAUUCACACAUACAAUUUUUCUUUGCCAUCUUAUCUAGGCCAAAAAAAUUGGUACCCUUUACAAGAGGACUGGAUAAUUGUUUUAGACAUGCUCAGAAAUGUGACUCUUUCCUCUGAUUCUGGAUAAGAAAAUAUGCAAACAAACCUGAUAUACACAUUUAUAUGAUGUACAGUGAAACUUGCAAGAAUAGAUAUUAUGGAAGAAAAUUAUAAAAUAGAUUAUGGAGAUAUAUUAGUCAGACAUUAUUUAGGAAUGCACUAAUUUACUGCCUUAGAAAAUGUAUUUGAAUAAGAGACAUAUUCUUUUCCAUCUACUGUGUGCAGAAAUAGAUAAUUUUGUCCAGUUUCAUUGUAGGAGGUGCUUACUCUCACAGUCAUAUACAUAGGCAUGUACUAACAGAAUUUCAUAUUAAUCUUUGCCUCUCUUUUCUCCCAGGGUAGAAUUAUUGACUGUGAGAUUUUCCUUUGAUAUUGUUUUUUUGAUAUUGUUUUUUUUAAUGAAGUAGAGGUUGCUUCACUCAUUUAAUUAGUAAAGUACAUAUAUUUAUUUUUCUUGUUUGGUAACCUUGUUUUAAAACUAACAAAUGUAAGAAAUUUUUUUUCACAACCAAGGUAGGCAGAGAUGAGGUACUAAUUUGAAGACCUUAAUAUUACACACAGUGGCAGACAGCAUUUAGUAUUAAGGGCUGUAGUUGCCCAAAUCAAUUAUAAUAAUGUGCCUAUUAUCCAAAUAGAUACUUAAAACCCAUUUAUACUAUGUUAAUAAUAUUUAAUUACUCACUGUAGCUACAAAAUCACUUAGAAACUGUAGUAGUGCCUAAAAGCCCAGUGUGAGUUGAGAAAUCAUCACUUAAUUCUAGUGCUUGAUGAUCACAUGCCUUCUAGAGGUUUGUAAGGUUUCUGCAGAUUGUGGCUUUCACCAGUGAAAUCCCAGUGCAAUUAAGAUUUUAAAGUGCAGAGCAGUGAGGUGCUCCACAUCUGAAUGUUUUAUUUCCACCUGCUUAGUAUUUGGUGUCAAACUGGCAUGUAUUCAAAAGGUUUCUGUGAAGGCAGUAUGAUGAUCCUACUGCAACCCCUCAGCCUUUCAGCUACUGACUUGAUAGUCUGGGGUGCCAGAAACUCAGCUACAUUUCCUUCCCUUCGUGAGGCAGCUUCACUCUGUGGAUUUCCCUAUCUCCCUCUGCAGCAGAAUGGCCUUAGCUCCUCUUGCUGUUGCAUUUUGUACAUGGUAAUUGCACAGUCAUCAGACAGAGAGACUCACCAUGUUCAUCACUUCCUCAGGCAUUAGGCAGGACAUGAGAAUUACGUGGUGACAGCAAGCCACAGUGCCAGGAAUGAAUCAUGCAUCUUAGCAACUCUGCAUCAACAAGGAAUCCAAUGGCAGAGUAUGUCCUUCUCGUCCCAUCAGCAUCCAGAUGCCUACAGA